rnacentral:ncRNA from 17 species
GAGCAACUUAGGAUUUUAGGCUCCACCGCGGCUUGCUGCGGUGCAAACCCCGCAAGCCUGGCGGUCUUGCGCGCGGUCAAAAUCUAUCCGCCGGAG